UCCUGUGCUAGAUGGUAGAUAAACAUCUUCAAGUCUUUGGGUUCUAUUUGGUUGAGAUUCUACAUUGCAAGACUUCCUUUAAACUCAGCAAUGUUGGUAAUAGUGCUAAGUUUUCCAUCCUAUCUUCCCCGAGAAUUUCAAGGCUAACAUUGAGCCAUGGAAGUCCAACAGUACAGGAAGACGAUUGUAUCCUCAGGAUGACAGAGGACUAAGUCAUAGCCUGUCCCCAGACAGAAAUCUCCUGUUUCCCAUGAUAGCAGAUGAACAGCAGAGGAAAUAAAGUAACUCUUACAACGU